CAGCAGCCGCGGGAAAACAGAGGGUGCAAGCGUUAAUCGGAAUUACUGGGCGUAAAGCGCGCGUAGGUGGUUUGUUAAGUUGGAUGUGAAAUCCCCGGGCUCAACCUGGGAACUGCAUCCAAAACUGGCAAGCUAGAGUAUGGUAGAGGGUGGUGGAAUUUCCUGUGUAGCGGUGAAAUGCGUAGAUAUAGGAAGGAACACCAGUGGCGAAGGCGACCACCUGGACUGAUACUGACACUGAGGUGCGAAAGCGUGGGGAGCAAACAGGAUUAGAUACCCCAGUAGUCCCUGUCUCUUAUAC
rnacentral:rRNA from 1 species